rnacentral:rRNA from 1 species
UCAAGAAACUUCCACAAUGGGCGAAAGCCUGAUGGAGCGACGUCGCGUGAUGGACGAAGUGCUUCGGCACGUAAACAUCUUUUAUGUGGGAUGAAAUUAUUGACAGUACCACAUGAAUAAGGGGCUCCUAACUCUGUGCCAGCAGGAGCGGUAAUACAGAGGCCCCAAGCGUUAUCCGGAAUCACUGGGCGUAAAGGGUGUCGAGGCGGUUGUAUUAGUCGUUCGUAAAAUCUACGAGCUUAACUUGUAGGCGGCGAACGAAACGGUACGACUUGAGGUUUGGAGAGGUGCGUGGAACUCACGGUGUAGGGGUGAAAUCCGUUGAUAUCGUGGGGAACACCAAAGGCGAAGGCAGCGCACUGGCCAAAAUCUGACGCUCACACACGAAAGCUAGGGUAGCGAAGAGGAUUAGAUACCCACUAGUCCCUGAGCGGGCUGGCAAGGCGCAU